ensembl:snoRNA small nucleolar RNA SNORA8
UGGAGAUGUUCUCCUGUGUUCAGCAAUUUAUUCCUGCUGGGUGUUCAAAGGACAGUGCGAUUUAAAUGCAGUAUCUGGCAUCGUUGGUUUUCUUGGCUCUGUGCAUGUUAAACCUGAUACUUUUAUUGACACACUA